GGGGAAUAUUGGGCAAUGGGCGGAAGCCUGACCCAGCCACGCCGCGUGAGUGAUGAAGGCCUUCGGGUUGUAAAGCUCUGUGGGGAGAGACGAAAGAGCGGAACCUAAUACGUUCCGUGUUGACGGUAUCUCCUUAGCAAGCACCGGCUAACUCUGUGCCAGCAGCCGCGGUAAGACAGAGGGUGCAAACGUUGCUCGGAUUUACUGGGCGUAAAGCGCAUGUAGGCGGGGGGAUAAGUCGGGUGUGAAAUCCCUGGGCUCAACCUAGGAACUGCAUCCGAAACUGUCCUUCUUGAGUAGUGGAGAGGAAAGCGGAAUUCCGGGUGUAGAGGUGAAAUUCGUAGAUAUCCGGAGGAACACCAGUGGCGAAGGCGGCUUUCUGGACACUAACUGACGCUGAGAUGCGAAAGCGUGGGGAGCAAAC
rnacentral:rRNA from 1 species